AUCGUCAGUAUAUCCCAAAAUGUCCGCGUGAAUGAUGCAGUGGUGGAAAACAAAGCCGUGAUGCUAGAGAUGUCAGAGGUGACGUCAGUGUUUGCUCUGAACCAUGAUGGCUACACGUCAGACAGCACACUGGUUCUACCCAUAGACAGACUGGGGCUAAAUACGUAAUACCCUCCACAGAACCCCAUAACAAGCAGCACUCGGAUUAUAACAGUCAGCUUGCUUUUGGAGCGGUUCAAGAUCAAACACGCGUGGAGAUUACACUGAAACUUAACAGAUGGCAAUAUAUCAAAUACGGAGGGGAAAAAAAUCGGGAUGGAGAUAAAAUCAUUGUUACCCUAAACAAAUACCAGACAUUCCAACUCUCACAUAACGGCGAUCUAACGGGUACCUUAAUCACCUCCUCCAAACCAGUUGCUGUAUUCUCGGGAAAUCGAUGUAACAAACUUAACAGAUAUGGCUUCUGUAGUCAUUUGGUAGAACAAAUUCCCCCCGUGGACAGUCUUGACACGACCUAUAUCGUUCCUCCACAUUUUGAAAGAAGUGGCACUAUGGUCAGAGUGGUCUCCGCCCACACUGGAUCCACCACUUUCUCUUAUACCAUAGACAAGUCCGCAAGUACAAAGACUAUCGGAACUUUUGGCAACUUCGACAUCACCGUCUCUGGUAAACAAGCGGUUGUGGUGGACUCCAAACGGCAGGUCCUCGUCCUGAGUUUCGGUCUUGCUGCCCGCAGACAAAAGAAUGGCGACCCUUACAUGACCAUGGUUCCCGGGGUCAAUCAGUAUGUCCACCAGUACCACGUGUCUGUGCCUCAAGGAUUUCAACAGAAUUAUUUUGCAAUUAUGGUGAAGAAAGGCUCCAAAUCAUCAUUGCUGUUGGACAACGGCAGAAUCAGUUCGAAAAACACCGUAUCGGAAUCUUCAGUGACCGUCAAGGGGCAGGACUACGUUGUUCUGACCGUGAUGGUGAACCAAGGGGUGCACCGAGUGGAAACCAAGGACAGGUCAAGGUUCGGUCUGAUGAUCUAUGGUCACGGCCACGAUGACGGAUAUGGAUUUGCCGCCAACAUCCUGGGUCCUGGAAAACUGUAAAACGUCAAUAAACUUUAGAUUCAUCUCUAGGGAUUCUUUGUAAUUUCUGGGAAGGUUCAAUAAAUAGCUUUAAA
rnacentral:misc_RNA from 1 species